GCCGGUCCUCGGUAGUGGCCGUCGGGAGUCCCCAGUGAGAGGGACCGCCCGGAGGCUUCGAUCGAAGACCGGC
rfam:Kitasatospora sp. Root187 contig_23, whole genome shotgun sequence.